rnacentral:rRNA from 1 species
AUGGCGGCCACGGCGGCCGAGGAGCCGCAGGAGCCCCGACGGGGCGUCGACGGCGAGCUGAGCGGACUCGACCCCGGCCCCGGGUCGUGUGAAGCGGCGCCCGCCCGCGAACCGGUGCCCACGGAGAUGCCGGCGGCGGCGGAGGCGGAGUCCUCGUCGAUGAGAAAGCUUGGGCGGCUCUUCAGGCUCACCGAAGUGCACCUCUGGGAUGAUUUUUAUGUGAAGCCUCACGAUUGGCGUGCCACUGAGACGGUUGGUUGCACGGGAUCUCAAACAGCCAAAACCCGCAACAAAGCAGCCAAGCAGACAGAUGAAGACCAUUCAUUUGUUGAAGAUAUGGAAUUGGCUAGUCUCAUGGGUUCUUUGGGGCUUCCUGUUUCAUUCAGCACAAGGAAAGAGAAAAAGAAGACACCUGCCAAGGGUAAGCAUCAGGGACGACAAGCACCAUAUGAAGCGGCAAGUACUCCAAUGGAUGAUAAUGUAAGGACAUGCACAGAUUCUGAAGAACUGGAACACGUUCAGGAGUCGAUGGAUUGCAUGGAGCAAACAAACUCAUGCGUUUCAUCUAGGACUACUGCGGGUUACAGUGAAGCCUACCAUGGUGAUGUUGAAAAGACGCUUGGUGAAGUCAGUGUUAAUCAGUGUGAACCAAAUGGUAACAUGAGCAGUCCAGUAAAAUCAGGCUCUCCUGUUCAACAAAAUGAAGCUGCGGACAGUUUUAUGCAGUUGAACAAAGUGAUGCUGGGGCGAAAUUCUGUUGAUAAUGAAUCUAUAAUGUCCUGUGCUGAACUUUGUCAUGAAGAAAAAUCGUCUGAAAGAGAAGAUACAAUAUCUGGGGAGACUCCACUCACGUCCCAUGAUAAUGAUGAUCCAUGUCCAGCAGAACCAUCUCCUGUUAAUAAUCAUGUUGAAAACUCUGGCUCUGAUUUUUACUAUGAAUGCGGAGAUUGGCAGGUUCUUUGGGAUCAGUUCUAUAGUCGGUAUUACUAUUACAACAUCCUGACACAGGAAUCUACAUGGGAUCCCCCUCAAGGAUUGGAGGAUUUUGCAUCAUAUUGUAGCACAUAUUCAUCUCAAGGGUUGGAUGAACAAGUAUCACAACUGACAAGCACACUCGUGGAAGAACACAAUCAAAUCAAUGCAAAGCUUGACAAAUCAUCUGGAGUUUUAUCCUGUGUCAAGCAUUAUAUCUCACAACCUGAUGAAGAUGUUGUACAAUAUGGAGCUAACGCGAGCCCAUGUGACAAUGGAGAAACAACAUUUGAUCAGGCUGGUGACAACGGCCAUCUAGAUGAGCAGAGGCAUGAUCUUUAUUACAAUGAAGCACAAAGUUUAUCAGACAUUCCUGAUAAAGAGUCGAUAUAUCCAAGUGUGAUAGCUACCAUCGAUGAAGUACAAGAUGGUGAAAAUAUGCAGAAUGAUAGUUCAGUGGCUGAAGUGUUAGAAGUGAGCCAGGAAGCUACCACCACCAAAAAGAAAAAGAGAGUAAGGAGAUCUCAAUCGUCUCAUUCAUGUCAGGACUUGGCAGAAAACAUUUCCAAUGACAUCGCCAAGUAUUGGAAUCAGCGGUACUCGCUUUUCUCCCUUUUUGAUAGUGGCAUAUUGAUUGACUGUUUCACGGGAGUAGGUGGAAAUACCAUCCAGUUUGCCACAAAGUGUAAGCAUGUUGUUUCUGUUGACAUUGACCCACAGAAGAUUGAUUGUGCACAGCAUAAUGCAACUGUUUAUGGAGUCAAUGAUCAUAUAGACUUCAUUAUAGGAGAUUUUAUCCGUAUAGCACCUCAUCUGAAGGGGGAAACUGUCUUCAUGUCACCUCCAUGGGGUGGACCGGACUAUGCAAAAGUAGAUGUGUAUGACGUCAAAACCAUGCUUAAGCCUUGUGAUGGGUACCAUCUCUUCAAAGUUGCCACGGCGAUCGCUUCGAGAGUAGUCAUGUUCCUUCCUCGCAACAGUGACCUAGACCAGCUGGCGGACAUGUGCUUGUCGAUCGAUCCUCCAUGGGCGGUUGAGGUGGAGAAGAAUUACCUCAAUGGGAAGCUGAAAGCCAUAACGGCAUACUUUGAGGAACAGGGCAGCGCAGACGAAAACUGCACUCUUCGUGAACACCGAUGA